UUUGGUAAUAACAGCUAUUUUUAUCCUUAUCUUCCACUUCAUUCCUCUCUAUGGCCAGACACACAUAAUGGUUUAUAUCGGUGUUUGUUCCCUUGUAGGUUCUAUAACGGUUAUGAGUGUUAAGGCUCUUGGAAUUGUCAUAAAGUUAACACUGUCUGGGAUGAAUCAGCUAAUUUACCCUCAAACUUGGGCAUUCACUCUAGUUGUAAUUGUUUGUGUUCUUACCCAAAUGAAUUAUUUAAAUAAGGCACUGGAUACUUUUAAUACGGCAGUGGUAUCUCCCAUAUAUUAUGUUAUGUUCACAACAUUUACCAUUGUGGCAAGUGUUAUUAUGUUUAAGG